GGCAAUGGGGGAAACCCUGACCGAGCAACGCCGCGUGUGCGAUGGAGUCCCUCAGGGACGUGAAGCACUGUGGGGGGCCGCCAAACGGGCGGGCAGGAAAUGGCCCGUCCCCGAGGAGCCCCCUAGAAAGCGACUGCUAACCACGUGCCAGCAGCAGCGGUAAUACGUGGGUCGCAAGCGUUAUCCGGAAUCAUUGGGCGUAAAGAGUGAGCAGGCGGUCCGGGAAGUCCGCGGUGAAAUGCGGGGGCUCAACCCCCGCAGGCCGCGGAUACUUCCGGUCUGGGGUGCGGGAGAGGCGGACGGAACUCCGCGUGUAGCGGUGAAAUGCACUGAUACGCGGAAGAACACCGGUGGCGAAGGCGGUCCGCCAGACCGAUACCGACGCUCAGUCACGAAAGCGUGGGGAGCAAAUAGGAUUAGAUACCCUAGUAGUCCACGCCGUAAACGAUGGGGGCCAGGGCGCGGGGUCGACCCGCGUCCGAAGCAAACGCAUUAAGCCCCCCGCCUGGGUACUACGUUCGCAAGAAUAAAACUUAAAGGAAUUGGCGGGUGCCCGCACAAGCAGUGGAGCAUGCGGUUCAAUUCGUGGCUACACGAAGAACCUUACCAGGGUUUGACAUGCCGGCAAAGGCCCCGGAGACGGGGAGAUAGCUAUGCCGGACAAAGGUGGUGCAUGGCUGUCGUCAGCUCGUGUCGUGAGAUGUUAGGUCAAGUCCUCCAACGAGCGCGACCCCCGCCGCCAGUUGCCAUCAUCGAGUUGGGCACUCUGGCGGGACCGCCGGCGACAAGCCGGAGGAAGGCGGGGAUGACGUCAAGUCAUCAUGCCCCUUAUGCCCUGGGCCACACGCGUGCUACAAUGGCCGGCACAGUGGGAAGCGACGCCGCGAGGCGGAGCGGAUCCCAAAAGCCGGUCCCAGUACGGACCGGGGGCUGCAACCCGCCCCCGCGAAGCUGGAAUUGCUAGUAAUCGCGGAUCAGCCAAGCCGCGGUGAAUGCGUUCUCGGGCAUUGCACACACUGCCCGUCACACCAUGAAAGCCUGCAACGCUCUAAGUCGCCAGCCCGACCUGCGAGGGGGGGCGGCGCCCAAGGCGGGGCCGGUGAUUGGGGUUAAGUCGAAACAAGGUAUCCCUACGAGAACGUGGGGAUG
rnacentral:rRNA from 1 species